rnacentral:rRNA from 1 species
GAAGCUGGAUUCGCUAGUAAUCGCGCAUCAGCCAUGGCGCGGUGAAUACGUUCCCGGGCCUUGUACACACCGCCCGUCAAGCCGUGAAAGCCGGGGGUACCUGAAGUACGUAACCGCAAGGAUCGUCCUAGGGUAAAACUGGUAAUUGGGGCUAAGUCGUAACAAGGUAUC